rnacentral:rRNA from 1 species
GUGGGGAAUAUUGGACAAUGGGGGGAACCCUGAUCCAGCCAUGCCGCGUGUGUGAAGAAGGCCUUUUGGUUGUAAAGCACUUUAAGCGAGGAGGAGGCUACCGAGAUUAAUACUCUUGGAUAGUGGACGUUACUCGCAGAAUAAGCACCGGCUAACUCUGUGCCAGCAGCCGCGGUAAUACAGAGGGUGCAAGCGUUAAUCGGAUUUACUGGGCGUAAAGCGCGCGUAGGUGGCCAAUUAAGUCAAAUGUGAAAUCCCCGAGCUUAACUUGGGAAUUGCAUUCGAUACUGGUUGUCUAGAGUAUGGGAGAGGAUGGUAGAAUUCCAGGUGUAGCGGUGAAAUGCGUAGAGAUCUGGAGGAAUACCGAUGGCGAAGGCAGCCAUCUGGCCUAAUACUGACACUGAGGUGCGAAAGCAUGGGGAGCAAACAGGAUUAGAUACCCCGGUAGUCC